AUGAAAUUAGAAAAACAAAACAAAGUUGAAUAUUUUCCAACACUAUUGUACCUUGGAUUUCUGUACAUUCUAAAUAAUUUUAUAGAAAUUACCAAUAACAGGUAUAAGAAAAGCUCUCUAUUUAAAAAUAUUGUUUUAGUUCUUACUGAAAGUCUGCGAAAUGGGCAUUUCAAGUAUGAGCAAAUAGUUAAUUUCUUCUUAACCAGCAACUUUCACGCUCAUUGUUAUAAAUUAAUUGAUUAUAUAGGGGUGAUCAAAUCCCAGAAUACUUUAAACCAAUUGAAGAACAAUGGCAAAUCUAGUCAGGAUGAAGAAAAUGCAGUACAUGUACCUGUUAGAAAAAUUUCCUAUAGGAUGGUGGAUUCCCAAAUGGUCAUCGAAUAUUCAAAAACUUUGGAGGAGGUUGAAACAAGAAGAGAAGCUUUGAAGAAUGCCAACAUACCUCAAGGUGAUUCGACCAUGACUCAACCCUCGAUUCCAACAACAUCAACUCCGAAAUCUCAAACAUUCACUCCAUCCAUUCCAUUUAACCAUCAACCGAACCAACAAACUAUGAACCAACCAAGUGUAAUAGUAUCGUCUUCCACAAAUCCAAUUAAACAUUCUCCUGCGUCAGAUGUCAAAGCCAGAAAUCCACAAACUUCCAGCACUAUUUCAGCUGCUGUUUCCAAACUGCCAUUUGUCACAGUUGUUCCUCGUAAAACAAAUGAAAAUUUGACUCUUCAUAACUUAUUAGCCAGCAAUAAGGUUCCAAGUGAUAUAAGUGUUAAAUCUCUAGCCUCUCAAAACCAGCCAACAUCUGUUAUUCGAACACCCCAACAAGCUCAAGCCCCCAAUACGCCUAGACUUGCACCUCUCUCCACAACCUCAAAUGCUGCUACCAUUGAUAAAAGAGUGAAGAAAUUGUCCAAUAUCACAAUAACUGCCACAUCUGUACCUGAGAAGACUGUAUCACCAAGACAACCUGGGUCAGCUGUCAAAACAACAAUAGCAUCAACACUCCCACCUGGAAAUGCUACAUUUCCGAAGCAACCUGGAUCAAUGGUCAAAACACCAAUAACCUCCACAUCUGUUUCUGGAAACGCUGUAUUUGCAAAACAACUUGGAUCAGCACCAAUUCAAGUUGUACGUCCUCUUCUGCAGACCAAGCCUGCUCCGGCCAAUACAAUCAGGCCAGGUGAUCGUGUUGGUACCAUUAGUAAAACCCCAGAAUUCACCCCCAGAAAUAGUCCACCCAUGAAAGCCAGUUUAGCUAAUCAGCCUAUAGUUAGAACCAAUACAGCCAAUUCGUCCUUGGUUAGAGCCUUUGGUAAAAAACCAGUAGCCCAGAAAGUCAAUAAUCCAACUAGACCACCGCCGCCAUAUCCUGAAAAUCCUACAAAUGUUGGACCGGCAUUGUAUCAACCCACUGUUAGUUGUUUGGAACAAGCACUUUUAGCCGAUGCAUCCCUAUUAAACUCUGGUGUUCCUUCAAAUCAAUUGCAAAACAACCUACAAGUUAAUAAAAACACCAAUAGUAAUUUUCUUCCAAACAACAUUGUCUCUGUCACAAAACCCUCUAGUGUUCCUCCAAAUUGUCAGCCAACCAAUUUUUAUCAACCAGAUUUUCAAAAUCCAUCACAAUAUUUAGCCCAAAAUUCAUCAGUACUCGAUAAUCAAACAAUGAACAACAAUUUUCAGUCUUCCGCAAGUAACCAAAAUGUGCAACAGUACCAAACACUGCAAACUCAAAGCUUCAGUGCUGACUUUGGCUCCAGCACAAUUAACACCUCACUUCUACUGGACAGUAAUCAGAUUUUAUACAAUGAUAUGCUGAAUCAAAACAAUUCAACAAUGUACUACAAUAAUUAUGUUCCACCAAUAGCAACAAAUCAAAUGCAAAAUCAAAUAUCGGGGACUCAAGUCUACUCUCAAGUUGCACAAAAUCAGUCGCAAAAUCAGCUGCAGUCAGGAACUAUGAGUCAGUUUCAACCUACUGUCUUGCCACAACCCAUCAACCAAACAAUGCAGGAACCUAAUCAAUACUUCUCAACACCCACACCUAAUGGCACUGUUCAUUGGCAAAACGCAGCUUUUUCAAAUCCUCCCAUGGUUCAGUCUUUCCAGAAUCCGUUAUCCUAUCAAAAUUCCUUUGGUCAGGGUCUGUGA
rnacentral:lncRNA from 1 species